CCCGCCUUAGCUCAACCUGGUAGAGCACUCGGCUGUAGACCGAGGUGUUCCCAGUUCAAAUCUGGGAGGCGGGA
rnacentral:tRNA from 1 species